rnacentral:rRNA from 1 species
ACGCUCGACACCUACGGGAGGUAGUAGUAGGGAAUCUUCCACAAUGGGCGCAAGCCUGAUGGAGCAACACCGCGUGAGUGAAGAAGGGUUUCGGCUCGUAAAGCUCUGUUGUUGGAGAAGAACGUGCGUGAGAGUAACUGUUCACGCAGUGACGGUAUCCAACCAGAAAGUCACGGCUAACUACGUGCCAGUAGCCGCGGUAAUCUGAGCGGGCUGGCAAGGC